rnacentral:snRNA from 1 species
AAAAAGAAACAAAAGAAGGAA